ensembl:lncRNA
AGAAGAAAGAAGGAGGAAGAGAAGAGGAGGAGGUAGAAGAGGAAGAGGUAGAAGAAGAAGAGGUAGAAGGUAAGGCAACUUUAUUUAUAUAGCACUUUUCAUACACAAGGCAGACUCAAAGGGCUUCACAUAUAAACAUUGUCAUACAAUUAAAAUAAAAUAAAAGAUAAGUAAAAGAAAACAUAUGCAAAGAAAUGGGUAAAAUAGAAAGUUAAAAAGGCAUUUUAGUAUUAAAAUAGAAAAUAAAGGCAAAGUUAAAAAAGCUUAAGAAGAAGAAGAAGAAGAAGAAGAAGAAGAAGAAGAAGAAGAAGAAGAAGAAGAAGAAGAAGAAGAAGAAGAAGUGGAAGAAAUGGAAGAAGUGGAAGAAGUGGAAGAAGAGGAAGAACAGUUUGAGUAAGAAUAAUAAUGAGAAUUAUAAUAAACAUAUCAUUAUAUAAUAAUAAAGAUUUUAAACUCUCUCUUUCAGUUUACUUGUUUAUUCAAUUUAAGUUCAUAGUUUUAAUUAAAGUGCCUUGCUCAUGGUUCAUUAUUAAUUAUUCACUGUUUAUUCCCGAUGGAAUCCUCGAGUGUUUUACCACUGGGGAAAAAACAUUUUAGUGAUACAAUAGAUUGGUUCUCCUUUCAGAAUACACCAUAGGUCUUUAAAAAACACAAUUGAAGUUGGAUUCUUGAAGAUGCUUUCCUUGUGAAGCCUUAACAAUUGCUAUCGUUUUUUUGUUAUUGUCCCAAUCCGCAACGAACAGCUAGUAGGUAGUCCUUGGUCUUUUUCGUUCUGUCCCACUACUUACUAGAUGUUUCAGGUAAACACCUGAUGGUUAAACUGAGGCUUUUUGUUGAUGGUGACACAAACACUCCUUGUGUUUACUUAUUUAAAUCUCAGCCUCCAUCUUGUGCACAGGGUUUAUGUUGGUUAUAUAAUUGAAUAAAGAUAAUUGCCAAAAAAAAUUAACCAAACUCUGGUUUUCUCCAGACAGCAAAUAUUAAUCAAGGGUGGCCUGGUGAAACCUACUUCAGCCCUUAAACAGUAAAUUAUCACAAAUUACUUGAUCAAGUUAAACCUGCAAUUUCCUCAUUAGCAGCCUCUAGUGACGAGAGUUGUAGCUACAGUUAUAUCUAUAGCUGUAUCAUUUUCAGUCGGUUGUAUUUCCAUCCAUCCAUUUACCUGAAUGGAUUAACUGCCGGACAGGAGAGUAUUAUUCUUGUCGAAUCUUCUGCAGAAGAAGGUUUGAUAAAUGCAAUAAUAAAAGCAAUUAGAUGUGUCACUAACACUUGCAAGCUGUCCUUCUGAAAUAUAUCGCAGGUGGUGGGAUAUUCUCCUCACUGUGGGAAUCCCUCUCCGAGACAGGAAUAGUCCACUAUUUGUUUCUCAGUUUGCCCACAUAUGGAAAGAAAGGGCUCCAGAAACUCCUUAGAAAACCAUCAUCGGAAGAAUGUCGCUUGCAUCAAAAAACCAGCUGUCUGACAGUCAAAGUGUUCAAUAACAAUUUAUGAGUGCUGCUCAAAUGCGAAAUCUAAGAAGCACGACUAUAUGGCAGCUGUUUCAUUCUGAUGUUAUGGACACAGGUCUGUCCGGCACACACACCGACCGUGGAGUGGAAUCCAUGGGUAUCAAUUUCAACUGUGGAAGCCAACCUUCAUCGGAACCCAGGCAGACACUACCUCCUCCUCCCCCUCCCCCCUUCUCCCCCCCUCUCACCCCAUGCACACACAUGCUCGUGAUUGUCUUGUCUGUCAGAGAUAGAAGAAAGGAGAAGAGAGGUACAGGGGAGAGAGAAGGAGAAAUGAGAGGAGAGGAGAAAAGCGAAGAGAAGAGAAUAGAGGACAGGAGAGUAGAGAAGGGGAGAGAAGAGGAGAUGAUAGGAGAUGAGAGGAGAUGAGAGGAGAUGAGAGGAGAUGAGAGAAGAGAUGAGAUGAUGGGCGGGAAGAGAUGAGGAGACCAGAGUAGAGGAGCAGAGCGGAGAGGAGAGGAGAGGACAGGACAGGAGGGUAGAGGAAAGGGGCAGAGAGGAGAGGAGGGGAGGGGAGAGAGAAGAAGAACAUGAAUAAUAUAAUAAUUAGAGGGGGCCUACUUCCAGAUGAUACUAUUUAUAUAAUUAAUUUCUGCAUAAUGUGUUUAGCCAGAGUUGCAUAUUGUUUCUGUUUGUCGAGGUAAUAUUGAGUCAAUCGUUUACUCCAGUUCUGUAUUAUCAUCAGAGACCAUUAGAGAUGCAUUCAAAUUCCCUAAAUGAUGAAAACAAGAUCUACAGCUUGAUUUGGUUGACCAUCCCAUUUUACAAUAAUCCCAUAAAUCAGCUCAUCAGUUCAAUAAAAAACAGUAGAUCAUGCAUGUCCAAAUAAAAUGGCACAUUCAGAUUCCCACCAUACACAUGGUCCUAUAAUUUAGUAUAUUCAUAAUAUGAUGUAUGGUGUAUUUAACAUAAUUGAGUCUUAUAUAAUGUACAGGGUACUUAGGGAAGUUACCUAUUACUCUCUCUAUUCUCUUCCCCUAGCUCUAGCCCACAAAAGUAAGUUGUCAGUAUAUUUGUGUUUGUGUGUGUGUGUGUGUGUGUGUGUGUGUGUGUGUGUGUGUGUGUGUGUGUGUGUGUGUGUGUGUGUGUGUGUGUGUGUGUGUGUGUGUGUGUGUGUUUGUGUGUUUGUCUGCAUGUUUGUCUCUGUUUACAUCUUACAGCUGAAGACAAAUACACCCUGAUUACGCAGAAGAAUUGUUC